GUUGUGCUGCACCCCGUGAACAAUAUUGUUAACAAGUUGUUCAACCAUCAGUGCUGUUGCAAGUUGUUAACAUGAUUGUCAACAAGUUGCAACAAUGUUGAUGGUUCAACAACUUGUUAACAAUAUUGUUCACGGGGUGCAGCACAAC
rnacentral:miRNA from 1 species